rnacentral:lncRNA from 1 species
AUCCCCUCUAGAGAAUGCAGCAGGAAGGGUCCAUCUUGGAAGCUGAGACGGGACUCUCACCAGACACAGAGACUGCCAAUGCCUUGAUCUUGAACAUUCCAGCAUCCAGAACGGAUUCCCAGAGAGAAGGAAAGGGUGUCUUCACUAGGCUUCAUGGUAGCAAGCACAAUCACUGCAUAAGAAGUGCAGGGACAGCAGAGUGACCCUUCUGUGAACACAUCCAAUGACUGGAGUCCGGAGGCCUAUGGGCUGGAAGUGAGUGUGCCAACAACCAGAGCCCUGGGUAAGAAGGGAACUGCAUCGCAAGGAGGCCCAAUUAAACUGCAAUUACUCAAGAUAAGAAAACGAGGUCUGUUUACACAAUGGGGUUGUAAACCACCGGCUGUGACAAGAGAACUUUGAUCUGGUGGCAAGGGAGCUGUUUCUCAUGCAGGGCAGUGAUGAAACAAGGAGGUUUCCCAAUGAGGAUGUCUCCAUCUUCACCCCAGUAGCCCCAUCUUCUUCUGGUAGCACCCUUGCAUGGACAAGCGGAAAUCCUCACCCCUUCCCAGCCCCAGUAUCCACCUAACACAAUCAAAAAGUGAAGAAUAGAAAGAGAUGAGAUAGUGACUAAAAGGAAAAGAGAAUUGAUGGAGGUCAUCUUUGUGGAGGCGCUUGACAAGCAUGUUCUCACUGAACCGUCACAGUGACCUUCCACGUACCUUAUACCAUGCCUAUUUUACAGAUGAAGACACUGAGGUUCAGAGGAGAGCAGUGCCUCCCAAACUGUAAUGUGCAUAUGAAUCACCCGGGGAUCCUGUUACAAUGCAGUCUGCUGCAGUAGGUCUGAGGUCUGGCCAGACAUUCCACAUUUCUAACAAGCUCCCACGUGGUGCUGAUGCCGCAGGUCAGAGGACUUCACUGUGAGUAGCAAGGCAGCGCUGGACUAACUUGGUUGAACUCAUGAGUGAUUAUAACAAGGUAGGUGUUUAGGAGGCAGAGCCCAAGGAGGAACAGGCAAGACUUCUGUGCCAAGGCUGAGCAGAUGCUGGUAACCUCAGGUGCAAUACAAACCCGGCUGGGGAGAAUUGAGUAGCUCAGGACCUGUCAGUGUCUCAGGAGCCAUAUGCCAGAUGCACAUCUGCCAAGACUUCUUGCU